UAUUGGAUGUACACACGUAUUGAGUGUGACGGAUACAUACCUUACGUAAAUAGUUUAUUCAUGUAUUAUUUACCUCCCCUAUUUGCCUCUCCGCCAUUUGCAAAGAUUUUGCAACAAAAAGGAAAGUCCACUUCUGCAAGUUUAUUUUUGAUGGUGGUUGCCGUGCAAUUUUACGAUUUUAUUAAGGAAAUUCGAUUUGGAAUGUUUUAAUAUAGGUUUUUAACAUAGAUCUGGUUAUGUUUUAAUGUUUUUGUGUGCAUUUUGUUAUUUUGAAGUCGAAAAUCAGUCUCUGUAGGUAGACGCUCGUAAAAUUGAAAGAAUUUAAGUAGCAUCCACAAACGGAAGGCUGUAUUGGAUUUUCGUAUCUCUCACAAUGUGUAUUACGGCAACAAUAUGCAUAGACAUAAAAUUCUGGUUCCCUAGCCUAUGCACAGUAUUUUGGUUAGAGAACCGGUUUCGGACGAAUAAGUUCGCUGUCUUGGGAACCAAUUGUUUCUCUAGCCACUGCCAUAUAACAAAGAUAAAAAAUGUGAGUUCAUAUUCUAAGGCAACUGCCGGGUACAAUGACUUGAAUGUUCGUAAAUAGCUAUUAUGUCGGUAACUUAUGUUUUCUUUUUAUAUAUGCAUGCACCAACAUUAAAUGAGUCGCGCCACGAGAAAACCAUUUUGCGAUCAGCAUGGAUCAAGACCAGCCUGUGCAUCUGCGCAGUUUGUCAGGACACAUGCUGUUUGCUUUCAAGGCCUAUAGGAAUUAGAGAAACUGUUAGCGAACAGCAUAGAUCCUGACCAGACUGCGCAGAUUCAUGCUGUCGCAAAUACACUCUGUUUGUUUUCAUAUGGCGCGGCUCAAAUAAAAUUUGUGCGUGAAAGCAGGUAUGAUGUCACGUCCGGAUAAACAAAUGCACUGACUUGCUGACAGUCCGCGUGUAUAUUUUGUGGUUUGAAUUCUUUGAUAAACAUGCUAUAUGGAAAGGUGAAAGCGAUUGAAAUGAAUAAAAUACAAUCUAUACUUACUAACAAAACCGACAAUUUGGAUUGACAACGAGAAGUAUGCAUAAAAUAGCGAUACAACUAGCUGGAGUCAAUCUGGGUCACCAGAUGCUCAUAAAAGAUAAAUUCAGAUAAAUGUCUUUAAGAGUAGAAGGUUCCCAAGAACAAUCAGGGAUAAAACAGAAGAAAAGGUAUAUGAAUAUUGAUGGACAUGGAACUUGAGACCUGUACCACUGGCAUCCUGUACCUUCACCAGAACAGACCAGAUACCUCACAAGACAGAAAGUGUGUUUCCAACGAAGUAUUCUGUAGUUGUAUUUCUAAUAUCAGGU
rnacentral:lncRNA from 1 species